ACCGCACUUUAGUGUGUGUGGUGGAAAGUUUUUUCGGUACGAGAUGAGCCCGCGGCCUAUCAGCUUGUUGGUGGGGUAAUGGCCUACCAAGGCGUCGACGGGUAGCCGGCCUGAGAGGGUGGACGGCCACAUUGGGACUGAGAUACGGCCCAGACUCCUACGGGAGGCAGCAGUGGGGAAUAUUGCACAAUGGGCGCAAGCCUGAUGCAGCGACGCCGCGUGAGGGAUGACGGCCUUCGGGUUGUAAACCUCUUUCGACAGGGACGAAGCUUUUUGUGACGGUACCUGUAUAAGAAGCACCGGCUAACUACGUGCCAGCAGCCGCGGUAAUACGUAGGGUGCGAGCGUUGUCCGGAAUUACUGGGCGUAAAGAGCUCGUAGGUGGUUUGUCGCGUCGUCUGUGAAAUUCCGGGGCUUAACUCCGGGCGUGCAGGCGAUACGGGCAUAACUUGAGUGCUGUAGGGGAGACUGGAAUUCCUGGUGUAGCGGUGGAAUGCGCAGAUAUCAGGAGGAACACCGAUGGCGAAGGCAGGUCUCUGGGCAGUAACUGACGCUGAGGAGCGAAAGCAUGGGGAGCGAACAGGAUUAGAUACCCUGGUAGUCCAUGCCGUAAACGGUGGGCGCUAGGUGUGAGGGUCUUCCACGACUUUCGUGCCGUAGCUAACGCAUUAAGCGCCCCGCCUGGGGAGUACGGCCGCAAGGCUAAAACUCAAAGGAAUUGACGGGGGCCCGCACAAGCGGCGGAGCAUGUGGAUUAAUUCGAUGCAACGCGAAGAACCUUACCUGGGCUUGACAUAUACAAGAUCGGCGUAGAGA
rnacentral:rRNA from 1 species